GUGGAUGAGAGACUCUGGGGAGUGAGGAGGCUACAGUUUUAAAUAGGAUGUAGGUAAUCUCUUCCAACUGUAAAGCAAGACGCCGACAUGCAGUGCCACACUGCUCCACCGGAAUUCUUUGCCAGCAUCUACAGAUGCCAUUUCAAAGGGGACAUUAGAGCACACGGUUUCCCACAGAAAGAUGAUCCCAAAGCAAGCAAGGAGUGGGAUCACUGUAAAAGUUCCAGGACAUUUGAUUAAUCUAAGGGAUAUUAAACCUCUACCACAAUAAACUGAAGAAAUAUG